UUAAGUUAUUAAGGGCGCACGGUGGAUGCCUUGGCACUAGAAGCCGAUGAAGGACGUUACUAACGACGAUAUGCUUUGGGGAGCUGUAAGUAAGCUUUGAUCCAGAGAUUUCCGAAUGGGGAAACCCAGCAUGAGUUAUGUCAUGUUAUCGAUAUGUGAAUACAUAGCAUAUCAGAAGGCACACCCGGAGAACUGAAACAUCUUAGUACCCGGAGGAAGAGAAAGAAAAUUCGAUUCCCUUAGUAGCGGCGAGCGAAACGGGAAGAGCCCAAACCAACAAGCUUGCUUGUUGGGGUUGUAGGACACUCUAUACGGAGUUACAAAGGACGACAUUAGACGAAUCAUCUGGAAAGAUGAAUCAAAGAAGGUAAUAAUCCUGUAGUCGAAAAUGUUGUCUCUCUUGAGUGGAUCCUGAGUACGACGGAGCACGUGAAAUUCCGUUGGAAUCUGGGAGGACCAUCUCCUAAGGCUAAAUACUCUCUAGUGACCGAUAGUGAACCAGUACCGUGAGGGAAAGGUGAAAAGCACCCCGGAAGGGGAGUGAAAUAGAACCUGAAACCGUGUGCUUACAAGUAGUCAGAGCCCGUUAAUGGGUGAUGGCGUGCCUUUUGUAGAAUGAACCGGCGAGUUACGAUUUGAUGCAAGGUUAAGCAGUAAAUGUGGAGCCGUAGCGAAAGCGAGUCUGAAUAGGGCGUUUAGUAUUUGGUCGUAGACCCGAAACCAGGUGAUCUACCCUUGGUCAGGUUGAAGUUCAGGUAACACUGAAUGGAGGACCGAACCGACUUACGUUGAAAAGUGAGCGGAUGAACUGAGGGUAGCGGAGAAAUUCCAAUCGAACCUGGAGAUAGCUGGUUCUCUCCGAAAUAGCUUUAGGGCUAGCCUCAAGUGAUGAUUAUUGGAGGUAGAGCACUGUUUGGACGAGGGGCCCCUCUCGGGUUACCGAAUUCAGACAAACUCCGAAUGCCAAUUAAUUUAACUUGGGAGUCAGAACAUGGGUGAUAAGGUCCGUGUUCGAAAGGGAAACAGCCCAGACCACCAGCUAAGGUCCCAAAAUAUAUGUUAAGUGGAAAAGGAUGUGGCGUUGCCCAGACAACUAGGAUGUUGGCUUAGAAGCAGCCAUCAUUUAAAGAGUGCGUAAUAGCUCACUAGUCGAGUGACACUGCGCCGAAAAUGUACCGGGGCUAAACAUAUUACCGAAGCUGUGGAUUGUCCUUUGGACAAUGGUAGGAGAGCGUUCUAAGGGCGUUGAAGCAUGAUCGUAAGGACAUGUGGAGCGCUUAGAAGUGAGAAUGCCGGUGUGAGUAGCGAAAGACGGGUGAGAAUCCCGUCCACCGAUUGACUAAGGUUUCCAGAGGAAGGCUCGUCCGCUCUGGGUUAGUCGGGUCCUAAGCUGAGGCCGACAGGCGUAGGCGAUGGAUAACAGGUUGAUAUUCCUGUACCACCUAUAAUCGUUUUAAUCGAUGGGGGGACGCAGUAGGAUAGGCGAAGCGUGCGAUUGGAUUGCACGUCUAAGCAGUAAGGCUGAGUAUUAGGCAAAUCCGGUACUCAUUAAGGCUGAGCUGUGAUGGGGAGAAGACAUUGUGUCUUCGAGUCGUUGAUUUCACACUGCCGAGAAAAGCCUCUAGAUAGAAAAUAGGUGCCCGUACCGCAAACCGACACAGGUAGUCAAGAUGAGAAUUCUAAGGUGAGCGAGCGAACUCUCGUUAAGGAACUCGGCAAAAUGACCCCGUAACUUCGGGAGAAGGGGUGCUCUUUAGGGUUAACGCCCAGAAGAGCCGCAGUGAAUAGGCCCAAGCGACUGUUUAUCAAAAACACAGGUCUCUGCUAAACCGUAAGGUGAUGUAUAGGGGCUGACGCCUGCCCGGUGCUGGAAGGUUAAGAGGAGUGGUUAGCUUCUGCGAAGCUACGAAUCGAAGCCCCAGUAAACGGCGGCCGUAACUAUAACGGUCCUAAGGUAGCGAAAUUCCUUGUCGGGUAAGUUCCGACCCGCACGAAAGGCGUAACGAUUUGGGCACUGUCUCAACGAGAGACUCGGUGAAAUCAUAGUACCUGUGAAGAUGCAGGUUACCCGCGACAGGACGGAAAGACCCCGUGGAGCUUUACUGUAGCCUGAUAUUGAAAUUCGGCACAGCUUGUACAGGAUAGGUAGGAGCCUUUGAAACGUGAGCGCUAGCUUACGUGGAGGCGCUGGUGGGAUACUACCCUAGCUGUGUUGGCUUUCUAACCCGCACCACUUAUCGUGGUGGGAGACAGUGUCAGGCGGGCAGUUUGACUGGGGCGGUCGCCUCCUAAAAGGUAACGGAGGCGCUCAAAGGUUCCCUCA
rnacentral:rRNA from 1 species